rnacentral:lncRNA from 1 species
AUUCCCAACCUAUUUUAAUGCAUCUGUGGCAAUUUCAUUCAAAUAUUCACAGAAUUGAAGACUUGGGACCUAAUGGGUUAAUGGACACAACAGAAUUAGGUGGCUCUGGUUUGAAUAAAGAUGAGGACAUUUCAUGCACCUCUGAACAAGGCCAGAACCACCUCAUUUGGGAGACUGAAACCAUUAACUAAUAAAUCUAAUGUUGGGCAAAAUAGUCUGUAAUAUAGAUGGUAAAAAUAUG